CCCACUUUUCUUUCCUCUUUCAUGGACAUCUCUCUAGUUUCUCCCUCUAACAACAAUGGAGUCCGAGUUCUCUCCAGCGCCAACAUAUUCUCUCUCCAUCGAUUUCUUUCUCCUCUGCAAUGCCUCCACCAAUCGCCACCACCACUAUUUUACACAGACCUCCCCUGAGCUGUGCUUGCUAGUGGGGAUGUGUUGGCUUUAGUUUUGUUCUCUGCAAUCGGAAGUUUCAGUCAUGGUGGUAGACCAGAUAUCUCUCUCACUCUCUAUAUAAUACAGUAGUGGACUGGGUGUGGUGGACCGGAGACGGCGGUGGUGGGUGGUGGUUCCCUUGAGACUUGUCCACUAUUCUAGAAAUCAACUUCAAUCUGGUUGGCUAUGGUUUCGAAUCUGUGUUUUUUAUUUUUUUUUUUUUUAUUUUUUUUUUUUGCAACAAUGCAUUAAUCUGGGUCCAUCAUUUUCUUCAAAAUUACUUAUAUAUAUAUAUAUAUAUAUAUAUAUAUAUUAGAUGUAUAUGUAUAUAUUAGAUGUAUAUGUAUAGAUCUACAUCCUAUGGGUGAGAGGAGUUAGAAAAGAGAAGGAGACAGUCUUUUUCCACCAACCAAAAUGAGCUGCAAGUAUAAGGGAAAAUUGUUUUAUGUAUUAGGAGGGGCAAAAAUGUAACUUAACAAUACCAAACUCAUUCUCAAUUUUUCUCUGAUUUAGCCUAAGGUCAUAUGGGUAAAUUUAUGCUGAUUCACUAAGAUCAAUUACUCAACUAGGACCUUCCUGUUAUAUGGCCACUUCUAUCUUGAUGUAUGAAUAAAAAAUCUGAGGAGUGAUUUAUGUAAUUUGUCCUUUCUUAAAUUA